ensembl:lncRNA WEE2-AS1 WEE2 antisense RNA 1
CAAAUUAUGCAGUCGAGUUUUCCACAUUUGGGAAUAUCACAGGGGUCAGCACAUCCGGAGUGCAAUCGAUGAGCCCCACGCUGGGAAAAACCACCUUCGUGAUCAUGGUAUCUUCCCUGCCAGCAACCUAAUCACAGAGCCUCCCAGCCCGAUGCUACAAAGAGCCGCAUGCUGCCAGUUUCCUUGUGGGCAGGGACCUAUGUAUUAUAAUGGGAAGGCCGGAGAACUGUAUUUCUGGCCAGAGCUGCUGCAGAAGGUCUCUGUUCGGCAUCAGGUUGGAUCAUGUUCUGAUGAUAUAGGACCAAGAGGAAAGAAACAGAAGCUUCACUAUUGGGAAAAAUCUUCCCAUUCAAGCCAACUCCAACCCAGCUUCUCCUGGUGGAUUUUAGAGAAACCAAUCAGCUUCAUUUUCAACUUCUUCUAUGACUCCAGAGGAUUCACUUUGCAUCUUGUGACAAAUGAAUAUAUUACCUGAAAAAAAAAUGACAGGAUAGAUGAGUUGCUGCACAGGGGGAAAGCGAAGUUCCCAGGAGUAAGAUGUGCAAGAAGCGGGCAGCCUUGCAUCUCAGGGCUGAGUUCCCUCAACUGUGUGCUUGAGGGAAGUUCUCCCCUUGCAGACACACUGCUGAGUGAUAAGGAAGCACCUAGACUCCACUCUGACCAGACUUGGUUCUGAGGCCUAUGAAAUGUUGAUGGGAAGAACAGAAGCAGGAAAAUCUAUCUAUUCAAAUUUGCAAGACGUGGAAACUUUUAUUCACCUUCCUGGUUAGACUGUUCCUUUGUCAAAGUAAAGCUAAGGCCAUGGAAAAUGAGCUAUUUGAGAGUUUGUCGCUCCAAGGAAGAACAUGCUGGCCUAAUUGUCCCCCAAGUCAGGAGAGAGAAUUGUAAAAAACACUUAAACAGGCCUAAGUAAAGGUCCAGCACAUUAUUUAUUUAAGACUGAAUUAGAACUGAGUCAUUCCGACUCUGAAAAAAGAGUGUUGUUGGAUUCUUAUGUAUUUAAUGGGUCUGCCCUAUUGAAAACCAUUGUGAAGUAUGGUUUCCCAAGCAAGAAAUGACACUUUCACUGUCAGUCUUUCUAGGAGUCUGGCAGAAUCCAGGACCGGGAUUACCCUUAUUUAUGAAGCGACCUUAGACUAACAGUGGCUCUCUGGGUCUCCAGACAAUUGGCCAGGGACUCUAAAAACCAGAAACAAAGUUGAGAGAACUCCAUGCUGGUGGAGAAAAACAGCUGGCCUUUAUCACCAGAAUGUGCCCCAUAGAAGCAGCAAAGCAGCAAGCGACGUUCUUAAACAAGGGCCUGUGGGCCUCGUCAAGAUCUGGAGGAAUCAUCUACGACUCACUGCUGAGUGAGAGGGCUAGGCAGUGUCUUUAAGGUCCUGCCAGCUUUAACAUUGUAUGCUUUUUCUUUUGUUCAAUCUCUCACCACAACUGGAAGUGUUGCCUCAACUACACAGGAGAAAGUUUGCAGUAACUUAGAGAAAACAUUAUUUUAAUCACCAGUGUAUGUUCUCCUGCUCCCUGGACAAAUCCAUCAGCAGCGGCAACACUGACCAGGUCCAGAUUGGGGCCGCUGCGGUGGAUGUGAAUCCAUUGAAACUAGGGGUCUCCAGUGCUCCUGACUCCUCACAGCUCUGUUCCUAUGACAAGGAUGGUCAGCAAAGCCAGCAACCUUGAAGGGGGACCUUCUUCUAAUCUCCUCCCUGCCUGCUGAGAGAGUGUACAGAAGCAGCCACUUGUCAGCUGCGAUGAAUCCAAUGAUAAUUACAUAAAUCAUUAACAAUACUUGAUAUUUGCCCAUCACAUUUCUCAUUUCAAAGUG